AUUUGUAUAUUUUAUAAAACCCCUCUUGGUUUAAAGUGUCAUGACUCAUGUGCACCUUUAAUGCCAGGUCAGAAAGAAAUGAAAACGUAUUAAAAGUUUCAUUUUUAAUUGAAAAAUGUUGCCACAUGAUGGCGCAAAAACACUUCUAAAAAUGGACCCAAAAGAAUGAAUUAAUAUAUUGUUCUAAACCUGUAGGCUUUCUUUCUUUCUUUCUUUCUUCUUGGACAGAGAGUUAUGAUGAAUAUUUAGUCUAUUUAAAUUUCUCAAUCUCUAGCACAGGACCGGUUCCAGAAUCAAAUCACUGAGGGUGCUUCAGAAAUUAAGGCUGCUCUUGUACGUGUCAUGUGUAAGCAAACGGCUCCACCAUAGCAAGAAUUGCAAUGCAUAUAGUGAAACAUUUCAGAUUAUUUCGUACAGAACUCACUGCUGAACAAGAACUCCAGCGUUGAGCGGCUCAUUGGGGAAAUUCUCUGCUAUGAGCUCAUCUCCAUCUAUGCAGGUUGACGCAGUGACAAAGCUAUGAACCCUCCAUGAGGCUUAGCAGGGGAGGGAAAAACAACAUCUGAAGCUCAUGGUGGGGCUUCAAAAGUAAGUGAAGCCUCAUUAGUUUUUGUGCUCUCCUGCACCUGCAUCUUUGGUACAGCCACAUGCAGAGUUAAAAAGGCAAUUGAAACACUAACUUGGAUAUACAUAAGUGCACUUCAUAAUGAAACAAAUUAGUCUAUAAUGACUGAUUUGAAAGAUUGACUGAAAAUGUUCUUUAUCAUAUCAUAUGUGUUUAUUGCAUUGUGCUGCAACCUGAUCAUAGAAGCACAAUAAGUGUGGUAUUUUAGUCAGUACAGACAAAGACAAAAACCAUAUGUAGAAUUUGCAAAGAUCUGUGGUGCUUUCAAUGUUUCUGUAAACAGAAUUCAAAAAGCCAGAGUUGACUAAAAGAAGAGCUUAAUUGUUUUUGUAGUUAGUAGUUAGAUGUAAAAUUAAGUAUGUUAGAAAAAAAAUGAAUGGAAGCAGAGUUUGAUUUUGCCUGCAGCUAAGAGUGGGUUUUUCAAAGUCAGAGCGACAUCUCCCCAUUAUCUUUUGAAAGUUCCCUUUCGACUCAGUCUCUCAACAUUGCAUGCUAACGAUAUGGGGUUGCCUGGUUGCAUCACACCAGUAAAAAUGACUAGGCAAUGGUGUUUGAGCACAUAAGUGAGGGGCGGAGUUAUUCACUAUAUAGCUCAGUGUUAUCUUUCUUCUUCAAGAAGCAAGCAUUACAAGCAUUGGAUUAUUUCUCACUGUUGAAGAUGCUUUAAGAGGCUACGCCUCUCAAGGAGUGUCAGGCGUGCAUUUGAUCAAUUGAGCUCCCUGAUGCACAUGAUGCAUGUAUCUUCUGCUUGGGCUGUGCUCAUGCAGAGGCCAUGUUGGAUAGGUCUGACUGUUCUUUCUGUGAGGAAAUGACGGUCAGCACCCUCCGUGCCAGGAUUUCUACCAUCUUGAACUGUGCACCUCCCAUUGCCAUUGAGCCACGGAAGGACAGGCUGAGGCAGCCACGUGCAGUAGGCCUCUUAGAUGUCCGCACCCCGAAGCAGUCCAGUGUACUCUUAUUUUGGGGUCUCUUAUAUUGUACGCCAAAAGAGCAGAUUUUGCCCUUCUGAUGAAGCCAGCGACCUGGUCUCUUUUGGCACCACUGGUGAGGAUGACGUCGAUGAUGAAGAUGUCAUGUUGACUGCAACCUCAGACUCCAGUGAUUGGUUCUGUCAGGAGUCUUCACUUCAUAAUGAAGUGACUGAAAAGCCUCCAGUGGCUAUUGAUGAGGAGCUGUUGGGGACUUGGGCCUUGACUGGUCACCUCCAGAGGAACAAGAUGGAUAUGUGGUUUCUGGAGAAGGGUUGCCAUGUCGUCACCUCCCAGAGACACGCUCCAUUCUUUCCAAAUGCCCACGAUGAGAUAGCUCUCCCCUUACUUGGCCCAAGCCCAGACCGCAGGAUCGCAUCUCCUCGCUUCUGUUGACAGAGCCGACUGCUUGGGAUACACCAAACCGCUGUCCGUCGAGGAGGCUGUUGCAGCUCACCUGUACCCAACCACUCGUAUGUGGAAGCCGUUGUCAUUGUUUUCAUCGAAGCCAUGCCAUGCAUUCAUACUAUGUCACUUCAGCAGAGAUUCAUUCUCUCCUAGCAAAAUAGGCAAUAGAAGUGGUGCCGCCACACAAAACACAGGUCGCUAUUUUCUAGUGCCCAAGAAGGACGAGGGUCUUCACCCCAUUUUGGAUCUAAGACAGCUGAAUCAUAUGCUGGCAAAGCACCCGUUCAAAAUUAUUGGUGUAUAGCGAUCCUUGUACAUAUUCAACCUGGGGACUGGUUUGGGUCUGUGGAUUUGAAAGACAUGUAUUUUCAUAUCCAGUUAGGCCCUCGUCACAGGCGCUUUCUGAGGACACCGCAUAUCAGUUCAAAGUUCUUCCUUUCGGGCUAGCUUUGUCUCCAAGAACUUUUACAAAGUGUGUGAAUGCAGUUCUUUCUCCUCUCAGGCAGAGUGGAAUGCACAUUCUGAAGUACUUGGAUGAUAGCCCAGUCUCAAGAUGUGCUAGAAAGCCACAGGAAACAGCUUCUGGAUCAUUUGCAGUGCCUAGGGCUGUCUAUCAACAUGCGGAAGAGGAUGCUCCAUCCCUCCUUCAGCUUUGGCUGAAAAGCCUGUGUGCCAUGCUCUGUGUUUUAGUGACUCGUGGCUGUAUGGGCACGAUGACCCCUUGGCUCAACAGAACUAUGUAAAGUCGUAAUGACGGAUGCGUCAUUGAUGGGCUGUGGAGCCCUUAGCAAUGGCAGGCUGGCUUGUGGCAUUUGGAUGAGUGCGCAGUCAAAAUGGCAUAUAACUGCCUAGAGCUGAAGGUAGUAUCUUUAGCUUUGCAGCACUUCCUUCUGUUUGUGAAGGACAGUCAUGUCCCAGUUCACAUGGACAACACUUCAAAGGUUUGUGGAACAUUUCCUUUUGGGAGUGGACAGGAACCUCCUAUCAAUACAGGCAGUCCAUGUUCCUGGCUGUCUGAAUUGCGGUGCAUACAUGCUGUCCAGAGGUGGCACAGUUCACUGAGAAUGGAGGCUACAUCCUUAGACAGCCAGAUGAUUUGUUACUCCCAUAAAAGGGGAUGCAUUAUCAAGUCGCUGGCCAAAGAAGCGUAAAUAUGCCUUUCCACCAGUCAAUAUCAUGCUGCUGGUGCUGCACAAGAUCAGGGAGGAACAGGAGGCCAUGUUGCUGGUUGCGCAGAACUGGCCCAAUCAGCUGUGGUUUCCAGAACUGGUGGAACUUCUAGUGGCUCCCCAUGGUCGAUUCUGUUACGGAGGGACCUGCUGUCUCAAGCGAUGGGCACUAUAUGGCACCCCAGGCCAGAGCUAUGGGACCUACAUGUCUGGCAGCUCAGUGCGAGGGGCAGGCAGUGAAUGUGCCGUAAAGUGUAUUGGAUAUGAUUGUGGAAGCGAGAGCGUGUGGGAAGAGAGUGGGUGAUUUACAUGCUAUGUCUACUGAUAUGACUUGUAUGGAGUUUGGUAGAAAUGACUGUAUGGUCAGACUGACACCCAGACAUGGAUAUGUGCCCAAAGUGUUCUUUACACCAUUUGGAGCACAGGUUAUAACGCUGCAAGUGCUCCUCAGGAGACCACGUCUGCACCACAUAUUUUAUGCCCUAUUUGUGCUUUGCGCAUUUUAGACUGUCAAAGCAGCUUUUUGUCUGUUUCAGAGGUUGCGAUUCUAAAAAUGAGAUGUGUCCCGUUGGGGUUUGUGCUCAUUCUACUAGGAGUAUGGCUUUUUUGUGGGCUUUGAAUAAAGGGAUGUUGAUUCAGGACAUUUGUUUGGUGGCAGGUUGGUGUUCUCAGAACACCUGUGCUAGAUUUACACAGCAUGAGAUUCCCUCUUUUGCACCUCAUGUUUUGACUAUUUGCAACUCCCUUCUCUGUGAGUUGAGUGGUUUCAACUAAGUCCAGUACCGAGCUCUGUUCUGAUGCAGUAGCUCAGUUGCUUUGAUUGGAGCAUUUAUUCUGGUCCUCAGCAAAGGGCUUGAGCUGUUCUCGACUGUAACUUGUGCCUGAUUUGUCACUUUAUAUUAGCAACAGAUGUCAUUUGUUUAUUCAUCAGUUUGGUGCUUGCACGCGUUAACACUUGCAGGUGUGUAUAUUGUAAUAAGUACCAGUGAUGCUGUUACUAGUUCAUCUGUGGUUUCUCGUUAUGAGUGUGUUACCCUUGAGUCAGCUCCUUGCCCUGUUAUAGGUCAGAUACUUAACCUAUGUGGUUGGAGUGUGUGACCAUCAUGGGUUUUGAUGUAAAGGAUGCCACACGCUGAAUUGCCCUUCACAGUUUAAUUCCCUUAUCAUCAUUUUAUUCUGCAGAAACACUUACAAUUAUGAAAUAAGGCUCACUGACACAUCACCGACAUCUCACUGUCGCCAGACAAAUAUCUAGUGUGCUAAAAAUUUGGAGCUGUUGGCCAACUCGAUAUCCUGUGGUGUCACGUGUCGCGGCGAGACAUCCAAUGAAAUAUACACUGAUGUCUAUAGAAGCAGCAAUAACAAUCCAUUCAAAUAGCCUAUAAUUUCUGCCACACAGAGUUUCUGCCAAUCUCAUGUUAAUCUUGAGUACAUCUAGAGUAACAAUGCAUCCUUCAUAUAUCCGAAAGGUCUUUAGUUUUGUCAUAUUUAUAAAAGAUAGAUACGCUAAACCAAGUCUUUCCGAAAAAAGCCGAGAUCCUGGAGGCGUUUCUUCCGGCUGAACUAAAGAGUCAUGAUUGCCAACAAACAUAGACAUCUAAUGCAGCUUUACUCACUGACCCCAAUCUGCAAAUCCAGUGCCGAACUGGGACUUGUUUACAAAGUAUUCGUCACCGAAUUCCUGGGAAAAAACAAACAUACAUGCACAACUGUUGUUGCCCCAGAAAAACAAAUUUCAUCCACUGUUCCCUUAAUGCUGGGUUAUUUGGCAAGCUGAAAAGGGUAAUCUUUCCCUCACAACCAAAAACACACUCCUUUGUGACAGGAGCUGCGUCUCAUUUUGGAGGCUGCAUCCUCCGGGGGUCGCAUUUGAAGGCGACCCCUGGAGGAUGCAUAGUAAUUACUAAUAAAAGUAAGUGUAAUAAAAUUGACUAAUAUUCAUUGUGAGGUGUAAAAUACUGUAAUUACCACCCAGCCUGUAAAAUACUGUAACCAC